rnacentral:rRNA from 1 species
GAGUUUGAUCAUGGCUCAGGAUGAACGCUAGCGGCAGGCUUAACACAUGCAAGUCGAGGGGUAGUAUAGCAAUAUAUGAGACCGGCGCACGGGUGCGUAACGCGUAUGCAAUCUACCUUUUACAGGGGAAUAGCCCAGAGAAAUUUGGAUUAAUGCCCCAUGGUAUAAUUGAUUGGCAUCAAUUAAUUAUUAAAGUUCCAACGGUAAAAGAUGAGCAUGCGUCCCAUUAGCUAGUUGGUAUGGUAACGGCAUACCAAGGCGAUGAUGGGUAGGGGUCCUGAGAGGGAGAUCCCCCACACUGGUACUGAGACACGGACCAGACUCCUACGGG